rnacentral:rRNA from 1 species
GAUGAACGCUGGCGGCGUGCCUAAUACAUGCAAGUCGAGCGAACAGACGAGGAGCUUGCUCCUCUGACGUUAGCGGCGGACGGGUGAGUAACACGUGGAUAACCUACCUAUAAGACUGGGAUAACUUCGGGAAACCGGAGCUAAUACCGGAUAAUAUAUUGAACCGCAUGGUUCAAUAGUGAAAGACGGUUUUGCUGUCACUUAUAGAUGGAUCCGCGCCGCAUUAGCUGGUUGGUAAGGUAACGGCUUACCAAGGCAACGAUGCGUAGCCGACCUGAGAGGGUGAUCGGCCACACUGGAACUGAGACACGGUCCAGACUCCUACGGGAGGCAGCAGUAGGGAAUCUUCCGCAAUGGGGGAAAGCCUGACGGAGCAACGCCGCGUGAGUGAUGAAGGUCUUCGGAUCGUAAAACUCUGUUAUUAGGGAAGAACAAAUGUGUAAGUAACUAUGCACGUCUUGACGGUACCUAAUCAGAAAGCCACGGCUAACUACGUG